AGCUCCAAUAGCGUAUAUUAAAGUUGCUGCAGUUAAAAAGCUCGUAGUUGCAUUUCCGAGGCAAGGGAUUAGUCCGACCUUUGGUGAGUAUUUAAUCCUCUUGCCUCGUCCUUGAGUGGUGCUUCUUGGUAUUAAGUUAUCGAGGAGAUAGCCGUUCAUCGUUUACUGUGAGAAAAUUAGAGUGUUCAAAGCAGGCUUAUGCCGUUGAAUAUAUUAGCAUGGAAUAAUAAGAUAGGACCUCGGUACUAUUUUGUUGGUUUGAGAACCAAGGUAAUGAUGAAUAGGGACAGUUGGGGGUAUUCGUAUUCAGUUGUCAGAGGUGAAAUUCUUAGAUUUACGGAAGACGAACUACUGCGAAAGCAUUUACCAAGGAUGUUUUCA
rnacentral:rRNA from 1 species